rnacentral:rRNA from 1 species
ACGCACGCUGGCGGCGUGCUUAACACAUGCAAGUCGAACGGAAAGGCCCUGCUUUUGUGGGGUGCUCGAGUGGCGAACGGGUGAGUAACACGUGAGUAACCUGCCCUUGACUUUGGGAUAACUUCAGGAAACUGGGGCUAAUACCGGAUAGGAGCUCCUGCUGCAUGGUGGGGGUUGGAAAGUUUCGGCGGUUGGGGAUGGACUCGCGGCUUAUCAGCUUGUUGGUGGGGUAGUGGCUUACCAAGGCUUUGACGGGUAGCCGGCCUGAGAGGGUGACCGGCCACAUUGGGACUGAGAUACGGCCCAGACUCCUACGGGAGGCAGCAGUGGGGAAUAUUGCACAAUGGGCGGAAGCCUGAUGCAGCAACGCCGCAUGCGGGAUGACGGCCUUCGGGUUGUAAACCGCUUUCGCCUGUGACGAAGCGUGAGUGACGGUAAUGGGUAAAGAAGCACCGGCUAACUACGUG